UACGGAGGGUGCAAGCGUUAUCCGGAUUCACUGGGUUUAAAGGGUGCGUAGGCGGCUAGGUAAGUCCGUGGUGAAAUCCUGCAGCUUAACUGCAGAACUGCCGUGGAUACUAUUUAUCUUGAAUAUCGUGGAGGUUAGCAGAAUAUGUCAUGUAGCGGUGAAAUGCUUAGAUAUGACAUAGAAUACCCAUUGCGAAGGCAGCUAACUACGCGGUAAUUGACGCUGAGGCACGAAAGCGUGGGGAUCAAACAGG
rnacentral:rRNA from 1 species